rfam:Penicillium italicum strain PHI-1 contig2666, whole genome shotgun sequence.
UGAGGCCUCCGACGUGACACAACAUCCUGCAGCGGUGUUGUGUGACCUGCAGUGUCCGUCGUUGGCCUCG